rnacentral:misc_RNA from 1 species
AAGACUAUAGACCUGCGGAGUACCUGCGGAAGGAUCAUUACAUGGCGGAGGAGGUGGGCACCUAGUAAAAACAAAACCCUAGGUGUGUUGCCUACCACGCUUUCUACCCUUGUCUAUUUGCACCUUUUGUCGUUCCCUCGGUGGGUCUUGAACCUGCCGGCGGCAACUUUCAAAAACCUUUUGUAGUUAGUAUCUAAUUCUUCUGAUCAAAUAUUCAAUCGUUACAACUUUUAGCAAUGG